GACGAACGCUGGCGGCGUGCCUAAUACAUGCAAGUCGAACGCAGUGGGGACGGGUGAGUAACACGUGGGUGACCUCCCAUCAGAGGGGAUAACACUUGGAAACAGGUGCUAAACCGAUACUGAUGGAUGAACCCGCGGGGCAUUAGGUAGUUGGUGAGGUAACGGCGCACCAAGUACACGAUGCAUAGCGGGCCUGAGUGGGUGAUCUGCCAAACUGGGACUGAGCCACGGCCCAGACUCCUACGGGAGGCAGCAGUAGGGAAUCUUCGGCAAUGGACGAAAGUCUGACCGAUCAACGCCGCGUGAGUGAAGAAGGUUUUCGGGUCGUAAAACUCUGUUGUUAGAGAAGCGGUAUCUAACCAGAAAGCCACGGCUAACUACGUGCCAGCAGCCGCGGUAAUUC
rnacentral:rRNA from 1 species